GACGAGCGCGGGCGGCUUGCUUAACACGUGUGAGUCGAGCGAGCAGCCCGAGCUUUGCUAGGUGGAUGAAUGGCGAACGGGGGAGGAAUACGUGAGUAACCUAGCUUGAACUCUGGGAUAAGCCUGGGAAACUGGGGCUAAUACCGGAUACGACCAAUCUCCGCAUGGGGUGUUGGUGGAAAGCGUUAUGUAGUGGUUAUAGAUGGGCUCGCGGCCUAUCAGCUUGUUGGUGAGGUAACGGCUCACCAAGGCGACGACGGGUAGCCGGCCUGAGAGGGUGACCGGCCACACUGGGACUGAGACACGGCCCAGACUCCUACGGGAGGCAGCAGUGGGGAAUAUUGCACAAUGGGCGCAAGCCUGAUGCAGCGACGCCGCGUGAGGGAUGACGGCCUUCGGGUUGUAAACCUCUGUUAGCAGGGAAGAAGAGAGAUUGACGGUACCUGCAGAGAAAGCGCCGGCUAACUACGUGCCAGCAGCCGCGGUAAUACGUANGGCGCGAGCGUUGUCCCGAAUUAUUGGGCGUAAAGAGCUUGUAGGCGGUUUGUCGCGUCUGCUGUGAAGGCCGGAGCUUAACUCCGUGUAUUGCAGUGGGUACGGGCAGACUAGAGUGCAGUAGGGGAGACUGGAAUUCCUGGUGUAGCGGUGGAAUGCGCAGAUAUCAGGAGGAACACCGAUGGCGAAGGCAGGUCUCUGGGCUGUAACUGACGCUGAGAAGCGAAAGCAUGGGGAGCGAACAGGAUUAGAUACCCUGGUAGUCCAUGCCGUAAACGUUGGGCACUAGGUGUGGGGAACAUUCCACGUUUUCCGCGCCGUAGCUAACGCAUUAAGUGCCCCGCCUGGGGAGUACGGCCGCAAGGCUAAAACUCAAAGAAAUUGACGGGGGCCCGCACAAGCGGCGGAGCAUGCGGAUUAAUUCGAUGCAACGCGAAGAACCUUACCAAGGCUUGACAUAUACUGGACCGCAUCAGAGAUGGUGUUUCCCUUCGGGGCUGGUAUACAGGUGGUGCAUGGUUGUCGUCAGCUCGUGUCGUGAGAUGUUGGGUUAAGUCCCGCAACGAGCGCAACCCUCGUUCUAUGUUGCCAGCACGUUAUGGUGGGGACUCAUAGGAGACUGCCGGGGUCAACUCGGAGGAAGGUGGGGAUGACGUCAAAUCAUCAUGCCCCUUAUGUCUUGGGCUUCACGCAUGCUACAAUGGCCGGUACAGAGGGUUGCGAUACUGUGAGGUGGAGCUAAUCCCUAAAAGCCGGUCUCAGUUCGGAUUGGGGUCUGCAACUCGACCCCAUGAAGUCGGAGUCGCUAGUAAUCGCAGAUCAGCAACGCUGCGGUGAAUACGUUCCCGGGCCU
rnacentral:rRNA from 1 species